GCUCGCAUAGAUCAAUGCUAGAUCAUCUCUCCACAAUACAUUGUACUGGUUCAGCCUGAUGCCGAGAAGGUGGAGGUUCAAAUCCUCCUGCGGGCA